UACGAGAGGCGCAAACGUUAUUCGGAUUUACUGGGCUUAAAGAGUUCGUAGGCGGCGCAGAAAGUAGGGUGUGAAAGCCCUCGGCUCAACCGAGGAAUUGCGCUCUAAACUACUGUGCUUGAGGGACCUAGAGGUGAGCGGAACUGAUGGUGGAGCGGUGAAAUGCGUUGAUAUCAUCAGGAACACCGGAGGCGAAGGCGGCUCACUGGGGGUCUUCUGACGCUGAGGAACGAAAGCCAGGGGAGCGAACGGGG
rnacentral:rRNA from 1 species